rnacentral:rRNA from 1 species
CCUACUGGUGGCUGCAGUGGGGAAUAUUGCACAAUGGGCGCGAGCCUGAACCAGCCACGUAGCGUGAAGGAUGACUGCCCUACGGGUUGUAAACUUCUGUUAUAAAAGAAUAAAGUGAUGCACUUGUGCCUUUUUGUAUGUACUUUAUGACUAAGAAUCGGGUAACUCCUUGCCAGCCGCCGCGGUACUACGGAGGCUCCGAGGAUUAUCCGGAUUUAGUGGGUUUAAAGGGAGCGUAGAUGGGUUGUUACGUUCGUUGUGAAAGUUUGCGGCUCAACCGUAAAAUGGCAAUUGAUACUGGCAGUCGUGAGUACAGUUGAGGUAGGCGGAAUUCGUGGUGUAGCGGUGAAAUGCUUAGAUAUCACGAAGAACUCCGAUUGCGAGGGCAGCUUACUAAACUGCCACUGACAUUGAUGCUCGAAAGUGUGGGUAUCAAACAGGAUUAGAUACCCCAGUAGUC